UGCCCGCCUCCCCUAAUGUCGCUGCUCCAUGCUCUCAUGCUUAAUCACAGGACUGCCUAGGACCUCAGUGUUAUUUUGGAGGGGCUUUGGUGCGUUUUGCGCGAGUGAGGGGACCAUCAGCAGGCAGCACAGGUGGGAAGGAUCUUUUACGACGCUGCGGUAUAGAUGAUUGAACACUUGGAGCACCCACUCAGUGCAAUCAGCCACUGGCGGGUCCUCCUCCUCAGAAUAUUGAGAUUCAGCGCACUUUUGGGGAGGUGAACAACUCAAGGAAAUCAUUUUUUGAAACAGCGUGGAGGAUGUAAUGUUUUCUUUUGCGCACCGGUAAUCGGACUACCACUGGAGCAAAUCAACCUUUUUUCCUCCCACUUGCUCCAGACAGACAUUUCUGUUCUUAAAAGGAAAUAAGGCGCGGAGAAAUGAGCUUCACAGCCCCAUUUGGAUUGUGAGCUGUUUUUAUUUUUCUUAAGUGCCCCCCCCCCCCCCCCCCCCUUCUUUCUCCUCUGCGUGCUCUUUCAUGGCAUCGCUGACCAGGUCGGCCAGACGCAAAGACGCCAGUCGCUGGCCGAGGAUGUCGUCAACUUUCUGGGCUUUUGUGCUCCUCACCGCGCUCUUGGUUCUCUACUGCGGCCAGCUGGCAGCGGGGACAUGUGAAAUUGUGACGCUGGACAGGGACAGCAGCCAACCGCGGCGGACCAUCGCCAGGCAGACGGCCCGCUGCGCCUGCAAGAAGGGCCAGAUCGCGGGAACCACGAGAGCCAGACCCGCCUGCGUGGACGCCGCCAUUGUCCGGAAAAAGCAGUGGUGCGAGAUGGUGCCGUGUUUGGAGGACGAAGGCUGCGACCUGUUAGUCAAUAAAUCCGGCUGGACUUGUACGCAGCCCGGAGGCCGAGUCAAGACGACCACGGCUCUAUGACGCGACAAGACUCUCCCCCCACACCCCGGCGCUACGGAGAGCACCGACGACCCCCUCGACAGGCACCCGGACACGACCCGCCGCCACCGAACCGCCGCUAUCACGAGCCCGCCCUUUUCCCCGGAAGCACUCCACCCUGCGCCGCGGUCCUCGCGGAGAGAGAAAGGUCUCCUAACACCAUGACAGCACCAGAGAGGGAGUGUUUGUGGGACACCUCCCCCCCCCCCCCCCCCAAUCUCUCCAGGACAUCGGGUAAACCACUCGCAGUCAAAUACUGUUCCCUGCCAGCGACUCCACAGGAUUUGUGACUUCUCCCACCCGGUGCGUGUCGUCGGGUCAACAGGGUCGCCCGCUCUCCGCUUCCGCCCGCUCCGUCCAAUUAGCAGCUUUUGCCCGUCGCCGUCCCGUCGGAAGCCCUCGGAAUCGCUUUAACUAAAGGUGUGAGUUCCCUGCAUUUUUUCACCAUUGUAGAACAUCAGCGGGGCGCUAGGAUCCUUUGGAGAAGCGAACGCUCUCCGCUACGAAUAGGCCUUCUGUCGGAGCGAACCUCCCAUAUUUUUACAGACCAAAGAUGAAAAGAACAAAGGCGCGGGGACCGACCGACCGAGCGGGCAGUCGCCGCCGGCGUCCCCGCCGAGAGACCCGCGAACACUUUGCGUCGGCCGGCGGACGCACGGAUCAAAGGAGUACUUUUGACCAUUUCCUGACUUUUUUUUUUUUUUUUUUUUUUUUUCCCCCGUCAGACUGAGUCCAACACUGUACUUUGAAACUGGAUAUUUGGGUACUACGUGCAUAUAAGUACGUACGAAGGGGGGGAGAAAAGAAAAAGACGUGACGAUCGAGACAGCUGUCGUGUUGGCGAAAGAAGAAAGUUGUGUGUGUAGGGGUGAGGGUGGGGGGGGGGGGGGGUGAGCUUACGAAAAAACGGCGUGAGAAAAUGUCAUUAAAUGUAUUUUGAAAGGCCCUAAAAGUUAUAUAUUUAACAGUUUUUCUAUGUUGUACCUUUGUAGAGGAGCUUAUUGGAGUCGUGGUCUCAAUGACAAUUAGGAUGUGAACAAACGCCGUCGUCGACGUUACCGCCGGCGCUCGUAGUUUGGGAUUUUUCAGUUCGCGCCUCGCUAGCUGCUUUCUUUUCACGCUCAUUUCCACAUCGCUGUCAGGCAAAAAAGAAUCCUGAGGACUGACCUUGUCGCCAACUUAACAUUGUAAAUGUAUAGUAGUCAGCGGAAGCCAUUGAAGACUGCUAAUUUGCUAUGAUAUUGUAUUGUACACAAUGUGGAAUACUGACUCAUUUCCUCUGGA